rnacentral:misc_RNA from 1 species
GAUGAGGAACGCAGCGAAAUGCGAUAAGUAAUGUGAAUUGCAGAAUUCAGUGAAUCAUCGAAUCUUUGAACGCAUCUUGCGCUCCUUGGUAUUCUGAGGAGCAUGCCUGUUUGAGUGUCAUUAAAUUCUCAACUACACUGACUUUGAAUUGGUGUGGCUUGGAUUUGGGGGGAAAAUUGUUGUGGGCUUUUUGUAUAGUCUGCUCCCCUGAAAUUGAUUAGCGGUACCUUUGUGGAACUGUCUACAGGUGUGAUAAUUAUCUACAUCUUAGACAUCUGCUGGAAUGCUGCUUUCUAAACCUUACUUGUAUUGACAAUCUUGACCUCAAAUCAGGUAGGACUACCCGCUGAACUUAAGCAUAUCAAUAAGCGGAGGA